rnacentral:rRNA from 1 species
UACGUAGGUGGCAAGCGUUGUCCGGAUUUACUGGGCGUAAAGGGCGUGCAGGCGGUCUGUUAAGUUCAGGGUGAAAGCUCCCGGCUCAACUGGGAGAGGUCCUUGGAUACUGGCAGACUUGAGGAGGGUAGAGGAGAGUGGAAUUCCCGGUGUAGUGGUGAUAUGCGUAGAUAUCGGGAGGAACACCAGUGGCGAAGGCGGCUCUCUGGGCCCUACCUGACGCUGAGACGCGAAAGCGUGGGGAGCAAACAGG